AUACUUACCUGGCAAGGGAGACACCGUGAUCAAGAAGGCGGUUCACCCAGGGCGAGGCUCAGCCAUUGCACUCCGGCUGUGCUGACCCCUGCGAAUUUCCCAAAUGUGGAAAUCUCGAUUGCAUAAUUU
rnacentral:snRNA from 8 species